rnacentral:rRNA from 1 species
UUCGCAAUGCCCGAAAGGGUGACGAAGCGACGCCGCGUGUGGGAAGAAGGCCUUCGGGUUGUAAACCACUGUUGGGAGUUAGGAAGUGUGGAAGUGUUAAUAGCGCUUUCACUUGACUAAAGCUCCAGAGGAAGCCACGGCUAACUCUGUGCCAGCAGCCGCGGUAAUACAGAGGCGGCAAGCGUUGUUCGGAAUUAUUGGGCGUAAAGAGCACGUAGGCGGCUCUGCAAGUCAGCUGUGAAAGCCUUCUGCUUAACGGAAGAACGGCAGUUGAAACUACAGGGCUUGAGUGCGGGAGGGGAGAGUGGAACUUCUGGUGGAGCGGUGAAAUGCGUAGAUAUCGGAAGGAACGCCGGCGGCGAAAGCGGCUCUCUGGCUCGUAACUGACGCUGAGUGUGCGAAAGCUGGGGGAGCAAACGGGAUUAGAUACCCUGGUAGUCCACGCCGUAAACGAUGGGCACUAAGUAGAGGGGUUUU